rnacentral:rRNA from 1 species
GAUGAACGCUAGCGGCAGGCUUAAUACAUGCAAGUCGAGGGGCAGCAGGGGUGUAGCAAUACACUCGCUGGCGACCGGCAAACGGGUGCGGAACACGUACGCAACCUACCCAGAACUGGGGGAUAGCCCGGGGAAACCCGGAUUAACACCUCAUAAGAUAGUGGAGUGGCAUCACUCAGCUAUUAAAACUCCGGUGGUUUUGGAUGGGCGUGCGGCUGAUUAGGUAGUUGGCGGGGUAACGGCCCACCAAGCCUGCGAUAAGUAACUGGUGUGAGAGCACGACCAGUGACACGGGCACUGAGACACGGGCCCGACUCCUACGGGAGGCAGCAGUAAGGAAUAUUGGUCAAUGGACGCAAGUCUGAACCAGCCAUGCCGCGUGAAGGAUGAAGGUCCUCUGGAUUGUAAACUUCUUUUAUAGGGGACGAAACCCGGAUAUUCUUAUCCGAUUGACGGUACCCUGGGAAUAAGCACCGGCUAACUCCGUGCCAGCCGCCGCCGUAACAC